CAGCCGCCGCGGGAAUACGUAGGUGGCAAGCGUUGUCCGGAAUUAUUGGGCGUAAAGGGCUCGCAGGCGGUUUCUUAAGUCUGAUGUGAAAGCCCCCGGCUCAACCGGGGAGGGUCAUUGGAAACUGGGAAACUUGAGUGCAGAAGAGGAGAGUGGAAUUCCACGUGUAGCGGUGAAAUGCGUAGAGAUGUGGAGGAACACCAGUGGCGAAGGCGACUCUCUGGUCUGUAACUGACGCUGAGGAGCGAAAGCGUGGGGAGCGAACAGGAUUAGAGACCCCUGUAGUCCCUGUCUCUUAUAC
rnacentral:rRNA from 1 species